rnacentral:rRNA from 1 species
CCUGGUAGCGGGGGAUAACUAUUGGAAACGAUAGCUAAUACCGCAUAAUAUUGAUUAUUGCAUGAUAAUUGAUUGAAAGAUGCUAUUGCAUCACUACCAGAUGGACCUGCGUUGUACUAGCUAGUAGGUGAGGUAACGGCUCACCUAGGCGACGAUACAUAGCCGACCUGAGAGGGUGAUCGGCCACACUGGGACUGAGACACGGCCCAG